rnacentral:rRNA from 1 species
GAUGAACGCUGGCGGCGUGCCUAAUACAUGCAAGUCGAGCGAACGGACGAGAAGCUUGCUUCUCUGAUGUUAGCGGCGGACGGGUGAGUAACACGUGGAUAACCUACCUAUAAGACUGGGAUAACUUCGGGAAACCGUAGCUAAUACCGUAUAAUCUUUUGAACCGCAUGGUUCAAAAGUGAAAGACGGUCUUGCUGUCACUUAUAGAUGGAUCCGCGCUGCAUUAGCUAGUUGGUAAGGUAACGGCUUACCAAGGCAACGAUGCAUAGCCGACCUGAGAGGGGGAUAGGCCACACUGGAACUGAGACACGGUCCAGAGUCCUACGGGAGGCAGCAGAAGGGAAUCUUCCGCAAUGGGCGAAAGCCUGACGGAGCAACGCCGCGUGAGUGAUGAAGGUCUUCGGAUCGUAAAACUCUGUUAUUAGGGAAAAACAUAUGUGUAAGUAACUGUGCACAUCUUGACGGUACCUAAUCAGAAAGCCACGGCUAACUACGUG